rnacentral:lncRNA from 1 species
UGUGGGUGCUGCUUAAUGCCAUGUAGAUGCCCUGUGGGUGCUUGGUGCCGUGUCGAUGCCAUGUGGGUGCUGUUUGGUGCCCUGUGGGUGCUGCUCAUUGUCAUGUAGAUGCCGUGUGGGUGCUGUUUGGUGCCGUGUAGAUGCCGUGUGGGUGCUUGGUGCCAUGUAGAUGCCAUGAAGUGCUGUUUGGUGCCACGUGGGUGCUGCUCGGUGCCCUGUAGAUGCCAUGUGGGUGCUGUUUGGUGCCACACAGAUGCUGUAUGGGUGCCAUGUAGGUACUGCUUGGUGCCACCUAGAUGCCAUGUGGGUGCUGUUUGGUGCCACACAGAUGCUGUAUGGGUGCCAUGCAGUGCCAUGUAGAUGCCAUGUGGGUACCAUGUGGGUGCUUGAUGCCAUGUAGAUGCCAUGAAGUGCUGUUUGGUGUCAUGUGGGUGCCAUGGGGGUGCUGUUUGGUGCCGUGUAGAUGCCAUGUGGGUGCUUGGUGCCGUGUGGGUGCCAUGUGGGUGCCGCUUAAUGCCAUGUGGUGCUUUUUGGUGCCAUGUGGGUGCUGUGUGGCACUGUAAUGCCAUGUAGAUGCCAUGUGGGUGCUGUUUGGUGCCCUGUGGGUGCUGCUCAUUGCCAUGUAGGUGCCCUGUGGGUGCUGUUUGGUGCCACGUAGAUGCUGUAUGGUGCCAUGUGGGUGCCAUGUGGGUGCUGCUCGGUGCCACGCAGAUGCCGUGUGGUGCUUUUGGGUGCCGUGCGGGUGCUAUGCAAUGCCAUGCAGAUGCCAUGGGGUGCCAUAUAGGUGCCAUAUGGGUGCCAUGCAGUGCCGUGCGGGUGCUGCUUGGUGCAGCCGUGCACAGGGGCCCUGCGGUGCACGCGUGCUGCCACCAAGGUCACCUCCUGGUCACACCAGCGCCACGCCAGCAGGACACGCUGCGUCCCGCCGGUCGGCGCCCCAUCACUGCACCGUGCCGCACGGGGCCGGGGUGCCCCCGACGGGUGCCAGCGCGGCACCCAGUGCACCCACGCGCCUGCGGAUGCGCAGUGUUUCGGGGUGCGGCGCCUGUGUGCGUGCGCAGGCGUGUGCACGUGUGUGCAAUAGGGAAUUGGGGGGCACCCUGAUUUUGGGGGUGCAAGGAGGGGGCUAUGCCCUGAUUUGGGGGGGCAGGUCGGGGGUGCACC